UACGAAGGGGGCAAGCGUUGUUCGGAAUUACUGGGCGUAAAGGGCGCGUAGGCGGCUUAUCAAGUCAGGCGUGAAAUUCCCGGGCUCAACCUGGGGGCUGCGCUUGAUACUGAUUGGCUUGAAUGCGGGAGAGGAUAGUGGAAUUCCCAGUGUAGGGGUGAAAUUCGUAGAUAUUGGGAAGAACACCGGUGGCGAAGGCGGCUAUCUGGCCCGUAAUUGACGCUGAGGCGCGAAAGCGUGGGGAGCAAACAGG
rnacentral:rRNA from 1 species